UACGUAGGGUGCAAGCGUUGUCCGGAAUUAUUGGGCGUAAAGAGCUCGUAGGCGGCUUGUCGCGUCGACUGUGAAAUCCCGGGGCUCAACCCCCGGGUCUGCAUUCGAUACGGGCAGACUAGAGUUCGGUAGGGGAGUCUGGAAUUCCUGGUGUAGCGGUGAAAUGCGCAGAUAUCAGGAGGAACACCGGUGGCGAAGGCGGGACUCUGGGCCGAUACUGACGCUGAGGAGCGAAAGCGUGGGGAGCAAACAGG
rnacentral:rRNA from 1 species